ACAUACUAUUGUGUAAAUCUCCGGUAUAACUGAAUGAAAAUAUUGUAAUGUAACAGGUUUGAAAGGUUCGGAAUAUUGUAUAUUCUAUAAAUCAUUGUUUAAUAUGCUACGUAGAAAGAUGAUAAACUGUAAUACUUGAAAAUAUUGAAAGUUGCUGAAUUGUCAAACCUGUCACAAAACAUGUAGCCCAAGGGUUAAACAGGUAUACUUAGUUGUUUAUAUCAUUUACUUCCGGGAUCAAAGUUAGAUAUGUUAAGGAAAAAGGCACGACGAAUUGUGUAAUUUUACAUAGCGGCUAGACUGCUUAAUUAAAUAUAUAUGCUGAAAUAUAAUUAUCUACGGUCAGAGUCAGUUAGAUUGGGAGUUAGAGAGAAAGAUGGGUUAAAAAUGCUAGAUUGAAAAGGUCACCUUUACUUAAUAAUAUCUAGCUAAAAUGUUAUGUUUAAAUAUUAAAGACUGUUGCUAUGAUAAAUAAAACUGGUUAAAAGGUUAUGUUUGUUGUAUUGAAUGGCCACGCUACGUUACAAUAUUACUUCCUUAUUUUACUCAUUCAUAAACUAGCGUAAAUAUUUACCACAGAUUUCAAACAGACUAUUGGGUAAAAAACACUCAACCGAUAAAAAUCAAUUGGUUUUCUAUACAGUAAAAAAAGAUAUACCGAUAUCGCUUUUGUGUUAUAAUAAUAGCAGUACGUGACAUUUUCUGAAAAUGAUAAUGAAUUCAGUUUUAUAAAUAACUGACACAUUUUUGGAAAACUGUAAUACUGGUUUUCUGUUUACUAAUACUAGAACAUUCGUUGUGUUAAGUCACGUAAAACUUUGUAGCAGUUUAGUAUUUGGCGUAAAUGAAUAAGGAUAUAAAGAUUAAAAAUGAGUUUUGAAGAGUUCUUUAAAGAUAUUGAUUGUCUUACUGUGGCUUUGAGAGAGAAAUACCCUAACGACCCUGAUGUGCAGAAAUGGAAUGAAAUAUACUGCAAAAGAUACUAUGAUCUUCUCAUUCAACAUAUUUGGAAUCCAGACGAAUUUCAAAUACUUCAAGAAGAGAACACUAGAUUAAAACAAGAAUUACAGACUUUAAAACAAAGUUCUUCUAAAACAAUGACGUCGUCCAUAUCAAAACAAACGAAAUAUGAUAAAAUUAGAAAAAAUAUUCAACAAUCAUAUUCAGAAGAAAGAAGGUUAACUCGCGACUGUGAUUACUCUAAAGAACCAACGAUUGAUUUAUGUAUUAAAGCUUUGGGAACGUAUGACAAAUUGAUCAGCUCGGAUAAACGGAAUGUAGUUUUAAAUUCUGCGAACAAAGGACAUGUUUUAAAAGAUUUAAAAAAACUAUCAAGAAAGGAAAAGAAAGGAUUUAUGGAUAUACUAAAAAAUCAUGGUUUCGUUUAUUCAUUAUCACAUUGCAAUUUUUUAAUACGUUUAUAUGAUUUUGCAAUGACUCAUAAUAAAAUAUUACAUUGUGCUUUAUCUAUUGAGUAUAUUUGUCAAAAUUUUACAAUCAUUAAGAAAAUCUUUCAAGAAUUGACUUGGUGAAUACAAAUAAGUCACUCAACCGUAGGAUUAUAUUAUAAUCACAUGCACGAAUGAACAUCAUAAUAUUACGUUUUCUUGAAAUCAUUCAACCGUAGGAUUAUAUUAUAAUCACAUGCACGAAUGAACAUCAUAAUAUUACGUUUUCUUGAAAUCAUUCAACCGUAGGAUUAUAUUAUAAUCACAUGCACGAAUGAACAUAAUAAUAUUUCAUAUUGUCAAAAUUAUUCAACUGUAGGAUUAUAUUAUAAUCAAAUGCAUGAAUGAACAUCAUUGAAAAGUAGUAUGAAAUAUAACGCUUAUGAUACAUUUUUGUUAGUAGUAAAGAAUAUUACGUUCUUGGUACAUUUUAAUACAUUUUAAUACAUUUUAACUCAUUUUAUUAAAAUAAUUUAUAAUUGUUUGUUCAUUUACUCUUUGAUUGUUAACUUUUAGUAUUUUAUACAAUAAAUCAUACAACGGUAUUUUAUCUUGUAACAUUUUUAUAAAAAAUAAACAAUAAUAACCACAGAG